CACUCCUGCGGGAGGCAGCAGUGGGGAAUUUUGGACAAUGGGCGAAAGCCUGAUCCAGCAAUGCCGCGUGAGUGAAGAAGGCCUUCGGGUUGUAAAGCUCUUUUGUCAGGGAAGAAACGGUGAAAGCUAAUAUCUUUUGCUAAUGACGGUACCUGAAGAAUAAGCACCGGCUAACUACGUGCCAGCAGCCGCGGUAAUACGUAGGGUGCAAGCGUUAAUCGGAAUUACUGGGCGUAAAGCGUGCGCAGGCGGUUUUGUAAGUCUGAUGUGAAAUCCCCGGGCUCAACCUGGGAAUUGCAUUGGAGACUGAAAGGCUAGAAUCUGGCAGAGGGGGGUAGAAUUCCACGUAUAGCAGUGAAAUGCGUAGAUAUGUGGAGGAACACCGAUGGCGAAGGCAGCCCCCUGGGUCAAGAUUGACGCUCAUGCACGAAAGCGUGGGGAGCAAACAGGAUUAGAUACCCGGGUAGUCCCAUGAU
rnacentral:rRNA from 1 species